rnacentral:rRNA from 1 species
UGGGGAAUAUUGCACAAUGGGCGCAAGCCUGAUGCAGCCAUGCCGCGUGUGUGAAGAAGGCCUUCGGGUUGUAAAGCACUUUCAGCAGUGAGGAAGGUUUCGUAGUUAAUAACUGCGUUGCUUGACGUUAGCUGCACAAGAAGCACCGGCUAACUCCGUG